UUAGCUAGGCCAAAAUAAUGUCUUCACCACUUGAACCUUUCUAACCUCUUCAAUUUCACCAAAAGCCAGAAUAGAGAUAUCACAGACUAUCAAGUAAAU